rnacentral:rRNA from 1 species
AACGAACGCUGGCGGCAGGCCUAACACAUGCAAGUCGAGCGAAGACUUCGGUCCUAGCGGCGGACGGGGGAGUAACGCGUGGGAACGUGCCCUUUGCUUCGGAAUAGCCCUGGGAAACUGGGAGUAAUACCGGAGGAGCCCAUUGGGGGAAAGAUUUAUCGGCGAAGGAUCGGCCCGCGUUGGAUUAGGUAGUUGGUGGGGUAAUGGCCUACCAAGCCGACGAUCCAUAGCUGGUGUGAGAGGAUGAUCAGCCACACUGGGACUGAGACACGGCCCAGACUCCUACGGGAGGCAGGAGUGGGGAAUCUUAGGGAAUGGGGGAAACCCUGAUCUAGCCAUGCCGGGUGAGCGAUGAAGGCCUUAGGAUUGUAAAGCUCUUUGAGCUGGGAAGAUAAUGACGGUACCAGCAGAAGAAGCCCCGGCUAACUACGUG